rnacentral:rRNA from 1 species
GUCUACAUGAAGUUAUAUGUAGUCUGGCCUGCCCAUUGAAUUUUUAAAAGGCCGCGGUAUUUUGACUGUGCAAAGGUAGCAUAAUAAUUAGUUUUUUAAUUGGAAGCUUGUAUGAAAGGUUGGACAAAGAAGUAACUGUCUUUAAUAUAUUAUUUGAAUUUUACAUUUAAGUGAAAAGGCUUAAAUUAUUUUAAGGGACGAUAAGACCCUAUAAAUCUUUACAUUUUUUUUGUCUUUUUUUGUUUAGUUAGCUUAAAAAUAAAAAACAAAAUAACAUGUUAUAUUGGGGUGAUAGAGAUAUAAAAUUUAAACUGUCUUUAAUAAUAUAAACAAAUAUAAUUGACUUAAAUUAAAGGAUCCUUUGUAGAGAUUAAAAGUUUAAGUUACUUUAGGGAUAACAGCGUAAUUUUUUUUGAGAGUUCAUAUCGAAAAAAAAGUUUGCGACCUCGAUGUUGAAUUAAAAUUUUCCUUAGGGUGUAGGAGCUAUAAAGGAGAGUCUGUUCGACUUUU